AUUGAACGCUGGCGGCAUGCUUUACACAUGCAAGUCGAACGGCAGCGCGGGCUUCGGCCUGGCGGCGAGUGGCGAACGGGUGAGUAAUACAUCGGAACGUGCCCAGUAGUGUGGGAUAGCUCGGCGAAAGCCGGAUUAAUACCGCAUACGACCUGAGGGUGAAAGCGGGGGAUCUUCGGACCUCCCGCUAUUGCAGCGGCCGAUGGCAGAUUAGCUAGUUGGUGGGGUAAAGGCCUACCAAGGCGACGAUCUGUAGCUGGUCUGAGAGGACGACCAGCCACACUGGGACUGAGACACGGCCCAGACUCCUACGGGAGGCAGCAGUGGGGAAUUUUGGACAAAGGGCGAAAGCCUGAUCCAGCAAUGCCGCGUGUGUGAUGAAGGCCUUCGGGUUGUAAAGCACUUUUGGCGGGAACGAAAAGGACUGUGCCAAUACCACGGUUCGAUGACGGUACCCGCAGAAUAAGCACCGGCUAACUACGUG
rnacentral:rRNA from 1 species